rnacentral:rRNA from 1 species
AUUGAACGCUGGCGGCAUGCCUUACACAUGCAAGUCGAACGGUAACAGGUCUUCGGAUGCUGACGAGUGGCGAACGGGUGAGUAAUACAUCGGAACGUGCCUAGUAGUGGGGGAUAACUGCUCGAAAGAGUGGCUAAUACCGCAUGAGAUCUACGGAUGAAAGCAGGGGAUCGCAAGACCUUGUGCUACUAGAGCGGUCGAUGGCAGAUUAGGUAGUUGGUGGGAUAAAAGCUUACCAAGCCGACGAUCUGUAGCUGGUCUGAGAGGACGAUCAGCCACACUCGGACUGAGAAACGGCCCAGACUCCUACGAGAGGCAGGAGUGGGGAAUUUUGGACAAUGGGCUCAAGCCUGAUCCAGCAAUGCCGCGUGCAGGAUGAAGGCCUUCGGGUUGUAAACUGCUUUUGUACGGAACGAAAAGCCCCGGGUUAAUACCCUGGGGUCAUGACGGUACCGUAAGAAUAAGCACCGGCUAACUACGUGCCAGCCGCCGCAGUAA